rnacentral:lncRNA from 1 species
CGUGCCCUCCCGGGCCGCGCACGCGCGCUGGGCCCCGCGGACCGCGCGUCCCGGAGCGGCGACGCCAGCCUCUCACCGCGGCCCCACACCCUUAUCCGCCAGCUGCUCUGAAGCAGUGGCCUGGACGCCGCUGCUCUGGGCGCGGGGAAUGGUAAAGCUGGCGGUUUCGUCCCUAGAAAGGAACCCGGAGCUGGGGAGGGCUCCGACUUCAGCGCGAGCCCUGUGACCCGGGGUGGCUGGGCUCCUCGGGCCGCAGUUUCCCUGUGGUGGAGAUCCCAGUAUCCCCGUCGGAAGGCUGCGCGCAGCAGCGGAGGCAGUGGGUGCACGCCCUGUGCACACCGUGCCUGGGCUAUCACUGUGGCGUCGGUGUGCACACGACACAGGCGCAGGGUGCCGUGGCACACAUCUGUAAUCCUAUCACUCAGGAGGCAGAUGCAGGAGGAUCACAAGUUUGAGACCAGACUUCGUCUGCAUAGCAAGUCGAAUGCCUGCCUGCCUGGACCACAUAAGUACAGCACUGUCUGCAGCCCCUGCGAAGGAGAAGCUGUCUGGUGCCAUUAGCGUCCCUGAAGAGCAGUGUUUUGCAUGUCUGCUCUACAUCACCGCCGUUCCUCCAAGACCCGACCCAGUGACUGAGGAUGCUGGCCUCACCGUGCCUUCCACCAUGGCCAUGCUGUGUGUGGACAAUCUGGGCUCCUCUUUCUCGGUCUCCCCCGGGGUCACUCGUGUGACUGUGGUACCCAGCUCUGGAGGGUCCGAGGUGGUGUCCUCACGUGUUCCACAGUCAGUGCUGGCUCUCUCUCUCUUCUGUGUCUUUCUUACAAAAGAAAAAGGAAUCAUAUGGUUUAUGGAAGAAAAUUUAGAAAUGCUGUCAAAACAAGGGAAAGAAAAUAGCACUCACCUAUAAUGCCAGCACCUCAGAAUAACCAUUGUUGGUAUUUAGACAUAUAUAUCUAUCCAGCCUUACUCUAAAAUAUUGGUAACAAUGUGUAGUCUACAAAAAUGCAUAUUAUUGAUUACUUCUUUUUUUUUUUUUUUUUUUUUUUGCAGAACCAGGGAUCAAACUCAGGACCUUGUGCUUGCCAGGCAGGCAUGGCACCACUGAGCUACAUCCCUGGCCCUACUUUUUUGUUUUGUGACACAGGGUCUUGCUAUGUAGUUCAGGCUAGCCUUGAACUUGCAGUACUAUGUAGUCUAGGGUGGCCUCGAACUCAUGGUGAUCCCUGCCUCAGCCUCCCAAGAGCUGGGAUUACAGCCCAGCAGCGUGAAUGUGAAGUUGGAGCCUGUCCGCCCCCAGGGAGCCAGCGUGGAAACAACAGACACCAGGGACCACAGUGAAACCGAGUUUUUGUAGAUGUGUGGCGUAUCUGCUUCCAUGCAAAAUUCUAAGUCCUACCUCCUUCUCAAUAAAUGAACACAUCCUUCCAGUGACACAG